AGGAGAAGCGUCAGUGGAUGCUGAAAGCCCAGAGCUCAUCCCCUCUGUGCUUUCUGUGAGCAGCAGUUCAAAAUGUGGAGAUAACUAUUGUGUCCAAGUCAUUUUCCUUGUGGAUCUCUUGCUUUUUAGAAUGCAUGGCUUUUGAAUACAUGGUUGAAAAGGAGCCAGUGAUGCUUCAUGUUAUGAGGAAGAAGAUGUCCAUGAGAUGGUGGUCACAGAAGCAUUAUAUAACAGUCAAAAGAACAAACAGUUUAAUAGCAACUUUGGAAACUUAACAGGUGAU